rnacentral:rRNA from 1 species
CCUACGGGAGGCAGCAGUGAGGAAUAUUGGUCAAUGGACGAGAGUCUGAACCAGCCAAGUAGCGUGAAGGAUGACUGCCCUAUGGGUUGUAAACUUCUUUUAUAUGGGAAUAAAAUGAUCCACGUGUGGGAUUUUGUAUGUACCAUAUGAAUAAGGAUCGGCUAACUCCGUGCCAGCAGCCGCGGUAAUACGGAGGAUCCGAGCGUUAUCCGGAUUUAUUGGGUUUAAAGGGAGCGUAGGUGGAUUGUUAAGUCAGUUGUGAAAGUUUGCGGCUCAACCGUAAAAUUGCAGUUGAGACUGGCAGUCUUGAGUACAGUAGAGGUGGGCGGAAUUCGUGGUGUAGCGGUGAAAUGCUUAGAUAUCACGAAGAACUCCGAUUGCGAAGGCAGUUCACUGAACUGCAACUGACACUGAGGCUCGAAAGUGUGGGUAUCAAACAGGAUUAGAUACCCCGGUAGUC